rnacentral:misc_RNA from 1 species
AUUCCGUAGGUGAGCCUGCGGAAGGAUCAUUAUUGUAUAACCGAGGUGCGAGGGCUGUCGCUGACCCGAAAGGUCGUGCACGCCCGAGUGCCCUCACACACAUCCAUCUCACCCCUAUGUGCACCACCGCGUGGGUCCCCCUUUGGCUUGUUCGGAGGGGGGCUUACGUUUUCACACAAACUUUGUAUGCAGUGUAGAAUGUAUUUUUUGUUUUUGCGAUCACGCAAUCAAUACAACUUUCAACAACGGAUCUCUUGGCUCUC